AUUGAACGCUGGCGGCAGGCCUAACACAUGCAAGUCGAGCGAGCGGCGGACGGGUGAGUAAUGUAUGGGGAUCUGCCCGAUAGAGGGGGAUAACUACUGGAAAAGGUGGCUAAUACCGCAUACUAUCGGAUGUACCCAUAUGGGAUUAGCUAGUAGGUGGGGUAAAGGCUAACCUGGGCGACGAUCUCUAGCUGGUCUGAGAGGAUGAUCGGCCACACUGGGACUGAGACACGGCCCAUACUCCUACGGGAGGCAGCAGUAGGGAAUAUUUCACAAUGGGCGCAAGCCUGAUGCAGCCAUGCCGCGUGAAUGAAGAAGGCCGUAGGGUUGUAAAGUACUUUCAGCGGUGAGGCGUUACCCGCAGAAGAAGCACCGGCUAACUCCGUGCCAGCAGCCGCGGUAAUUC
rnacentral:rRNA from 1 species